rnacentral:rRNA from 1 species
AGAGUUUGAUCCUGGCUCAGAUUGAACGCUGGCGGCAGGCUUAACACAUGCAAGUCGAGCGGAAACGAUGGUAGCUUGCUACCAGGCGUCGAGCGGCGGACGGGUGAGUAAUACUUAGGAAUCUACCUAGUAGUGGGGGAUAGCACGGGGAAACUCGUAUUAAUACCGCAUACGACCUACGGGAGAAAGGGGGCAGUUUACUGCUCUCGCUAUUAGAUGAGCCUAAGUCGGAUUAGCUAGAUGGUGGGGUAAAGGCCUACCAUGGCGACGAUCUGUAGCUGGUCUGAGAGGAUGAUCAGCCACACCGGGACUGAGACACGGCCCGGACUCCUACGGGAGGCAGCAGUGGGGAAUAUUGGACAAUGGGGGAAACCCUGAUCCAGCCAUGCCGCGUGUGUGAAGAAGGCCUUUUGGUUGUAAAGCACUUUAAGCAGUGAAGAAGACUCUUCGGUUAAUACCCGGAGACGAUGACAUUAGCUGCAGAAUAAGCACCGGCUAACUCUGUGCCAGCAGCCGCGGUAAUACAGAGGGUGCAAGCGUUAAUCGGAAUUACUGGGCGUAAAGCGAGCGUAAGUGGCUUGAUAAGUCAGAUGUGAAAU